rnacentral:rRNA from 1 species
GACGAACGCUGGCGGCGUGCUUAACACAUGCAAGUCGAACGGUGAACUCCGCUUGCGGGGGGAUCAGUGGCGCACGGGUGAGUAACACGUGGGCAACCUGCCCUCAGCUCUGGGAUAACUCCAAGAAAUUGGGGCUAAUACCGGAUAUGACCGCUGACCGCAUGGUCUGGUGGUGGAAAGAUUUAUCGGCUGGGGAUGGGCCCGCGGCCUAUCAGCUUGUUGGUGGGGUAGUGGCCUACCAAGGCGACGACGGGUAGCCGGCCUGAGAGGGUGACCGGCCACACUGGGACUGAGACACGGCCCAGACUCCUACGGGAGGCAGCAGGGGGGAAUAUUGCGCAAUGGGCGAAAGCCUGACGCAGCGACGCCGCGUGGGGGAUGACGGCCUUCGGGUUGUAAACCGCUUUCAGCAGGGACGAAGCGAAAGUGACGGUACCUGCAGAAGAAGCACCGGCCAACUACGUG